CCUACGGGGGGCAGCAGUGGGGAAUAUUGCACAAUGGGCGCAAGCCUGAUGCAGCGACGCCGCGUGGGGGAUGACGGCCUUCGGGUUGUAAACUCCUUUCGCUAGGGAAGAAGCCACUGUGUGGUGACGGUACCUGGAUAAGAAGCACCGGCUAACUACGUGCCAGCAGCCGCGGUAAUACGUAGGGUGCGAGCGUUGUCCGGAAUUACUGGGCGUAAAGAGCUCGUAGGUGGUUUGUCGCGUCGUCUGUGAAAUCCCGGGGCUUAACUUCGGGCGUGCAGGCGAUACGGGCAUAACUAGAGUGCUGUAGGGGAGACUGGAAUUCCUGGUGUAGCGGUGAAAUGCGCAGAUAUCAGGAGGAACACCGAUGGCGAAGGCAGGUCUCUGGGCAGUUACUGACGC
rnacentral:rRNA from 1 species